CUACGGGAGGCUCCAGUCGCGAAAACUCCGCAAUGCACGAAAGUGUGACGGGGCUACCCCGAGUGCCAUCCGCUGAGGAUGGCUUUUCUUUGGUAUAACUAGCCAUUGGAAUAAGGAGAGGGCAAGACUGGUGUCAGCCGCCGCGGUAAUACCAGCUCUCCGAGUGGUAGGGAUGAUUAUUGGGCUUAAAGCGUCCGUAGCCUGCUUAGCAAGUUUCCUGUUAAACUCAGCGACUCAAUCGUUGGAUCGCGGGAAAUACUACUAGGCUAGGAGGCGGGAGAGGUCAACGGUACUUCUGGGGUAGGGGUGAAAUCCUAUAAUCCCGGGAGGACCACCAGUGGCGAAGGCUGUUGACUAGAACGCGCUCGACGGUGAGGGACGAAAGCUGGGGGAGCGAACCGGAUUAGAUACCCCUGUAGUC
rnacentral:rRNA from 1 species